UACAGAGGUCCCGAGCGUUGUUCGGAUUCACUGGGCGUAAAGGGUGCGUAGGUGGCUUUGAAAGUUUGAUGUGAAAUCUCCGGGCUUAACCCGGAAAAUGCAUUGAAUACUCCAGAGCUGGAGGGUUGGAGGGGGGACUGGAAUUCUCGGUGUAGCAGUGAAAUGCGUAGAUAUCGAGAGGAACACCAGUGGCGAAGGCGAGUCCCUGGACAACACCUGACACUGAGGCACGAAAGCUAGGGGAGCAAACGGG
rnacentral:rRNA from 1 species